rnacentral:rRNA from 1 species
UACGUAGGCAGCAAGCGUUGUUCGGAAUUAUUGGGCGUAAAGGGCGCGUAGGCGGUGCCACAAGUCACCUGUGAAAUCUCCGGGCUUAACUCGGAGCCUGCAGGCGAAACUGUGGUGCUGGAGUGUGGGAGAGGUGCGUGGAAUUCCCGGUGUAGCGGUGAAAUGCGUAGAUAUCGGGGAGGAACACCUGUGGCGAAAGCGGCGCACUGGACCAUAACUGACGCUGGAUGCGCGAAAGCUAGGGGAGCAAACAGG